GCCGGGAUGGCGGAACUGGCAGACGCGCAGCGCUCAGGACGCUGUGGUAGCAAUACCAUCGGGGUUCGAAUCCCCGUCCCGGCA
rnacentral:tRNA from 1 species